rnacentral:rRNA from 1 species
CCUACGGGUGGCAGCAGUGAGGAAUAUUGGUCAAUGGCCGAGAGGCUGAACCAGCCAAGCCGCGUGAGGGAAGACGGCCCUACGGGUUGUAAACCUCUUUUGUCGGGGAGCAAAGCGAACCACGUGUGGUUCAUUGAGAGUACCCGAAGAAAAAGCAUCGGCUAACUCCGUGCCAGCAGCCGCGGUAAUACGGAGGAUGCGAGAGUUAUCCGGAUUUAUUGGGUUUACAGGGUGCGCAGGGGGAGGUGCAAGUCAGCGGUCAAAUUGCGGGGCUCAACCCCGGAGUGCCGUUGAAACUGCAUCCCUUGAGUGCGCGAGAAGUAUGCGGAAUGCGUGGUGUAGCGGUGAAAUGCAUAGAUAUCACGCAGAACUCCGAUUGCGAAGGCAGCAUACCGGCGCGCAACUGACGCUCAUGCACGAAAGCGUGGGUAUCGAACAGGAUUAGAUACCCGAGUAGUC